UACGGAGGGUGCGAGCGUUGUCCGGAAUCACUGGGCGUAAAGGGCGCGUAGGCGGCCUGGUAAGUAGGGGGUGAAAUCCUGCGGCUUAACCGCAGGGCUGCCUUCUAAACUGUCAGGCUCGAGCACGGUAGAGGCAGAUGGAAUUCCCGGUGUAGCGGUGGAAUGCGCAGAUAUCAGGAGGAACACCGGUGGCGAAGGCGGGUCUCUGGGCCGAUACUGACGCUGAGGAGCGAAAGCGUGGGGAGCAAACAGG
rnacentral:rRNA from 1 species